AAUGAACGCUGGCGGCAGGCCUAACACAUGCAAGUCGAACGGNUCCUUCGGGACUAGUGGCGGACGGGUGAGUAACGCGUGGGAACGUGCCCUUUGGUUCGGAAUAGCCCUGGGAAACUGGGAGUAAUACCGGAUGUGCCCUUCGGGGGAAAGAUUUAUCGCCAAAGGAUCGGCCCGCGUUGGAUUAGGUAGUUGGUGGGGUAAUGGCCUACCAAGCCGACGAUCCAUAGCUGGUUUGAGAGGAUGAUCAGCCACACUGGGACUGAGACACGGCCCAGACUCCUACGGGAGGCAGCAGUGGGGAAUCUUAGACAAUGGGGGAAACCCUGAUCUAGCCAUGCCGCGUGAUCGAUGAAGGCCUUAGGGUUGUAAAGAUCUUUCAGAUGGGAAGAUAAUGACUGUACCAUCAUAAGAAGCCCC
rnacentral:rRNA from 1 species